UAGCACUACUGUAUGGAGCCCCUAAAGGGACAUGGGGUAAAAUAAAAAUAAAACGUUUCUCGUGCUCACGUGAAAGGUAUCUCGUGAGCACGAGAAAGUUUUCUCGUGAGCACGAGAAACCUUAGGUUUAACACAGGCAGUUGUGCUUCCUGUGCGUAUGCCUCUAGGCUCAUUAAGAUCAUUAACCUCAAAGAAUGGCUGCGGAAGUGAACUUAUUCUCUUUCCUGAAAACGCGAAAUAUACCAGAUAGUGUCAUCAACCAACUGAAAGAUGAUAAGGUAAAGAUAAAUGUUAACUAUAGCCAUGUAAAGUAAUCAAUAUAUGUAUAAUGUUUCUAGCUUCCUUACCUGCUAUGUUAAUAUAAUUUUUCAAAGUUUUAGACAUUUGCCUUGCUUGUUACAGAUCAACAUCAACGUCAUAGGUGUUAUGACAGAUGAGGAGUUAGGACAGUAUAUCGUCAGAUAUGGGGCCCGACUUGCACUCAGAGCAUUCUGUCGUCAAAGAACUGUGAUAACUGAGAAGUCCAGAGGAGCAGAGAGUAAGAGACAGGCUCGGGGAACAACAGAAAACUCCUGCCAACAGAGACACAGAAGGCUCCAGUAUUGUUGGCAUGCAGUCAAAACCACCCGGCGGGUUGAAAUGAGAUGGCUCCACUUUGAUAAGAGCACUUAUCACCAGAUCAAAACAACAAAUGGACAGCACCUGUCAGUCCAGAAAUCAGUAACUAUGGGUGAACUGGUGGAGACGGGCGUUUUUUCCAAAUGGAUAUUCAUCCAAAGGGCCAGUGGAAGACUUAGAGUUUGAUAUUCGUUAUUACAGUCACAAUGAAGUAUUCGAUGAAGUCACAGUGAGCCAGCUGUAUGAGCAGACUAAGCUACGAAUGUUGCGCAUCUACACAACCUCCAAGGCUAAAGACAUAAUACUUCUCUCUGAUGCAUCAUCGGACUUCAAGCCCACAGAUGAGAGGCCAAUGAAGACUAGGACAAUGCAGAGAGGAUCCUUGAGGAACAAAACCAGGAGACGAUAUCACUGGAGGACUGGAGCUGAUCAUCAAGUGAAUCAUACAGAGAGCUCCACUGAUUUAUAUCCAGCACCCAGUGGCUCAAUGAAGUAAAACCAUGAAAACAGAGGAGAACCAAUCAGUCAAUCAUGACCAGCAACUCCUGAGAUGAGCAACACAGAGGUCCUGCAUCCACCAUCUUCUGAUGAUGUUGGCAGUCAUAUUAGGCAGUCGACAAGCAGGCAUGGAUCUGAAGAUGACCGUUGAAUGCCUGUGUCAAAUCAAGAUGCAGACCUGUUGUUAAGUGACGAGUCAGACUCCCCACUUGCCCUUGCCAUCCAAGCAUCUCUUGAGGACUCUGAAGUAUACUUUGGACAUGUUUGUGGUGAUGAUGGUAAUAAUCAAGACUCCACCCUUCCCUGGAAUCCAUAUGACUUCAACAGUAUGCAGCACUCCACACUGAAUGACGAACCUGUAUAAUCAAGCAGUCUUCCAGCAUCACCAGACCCAUUUGAAAAAGAACUCUUUCUUGUGAAAGUAAGACGGGUAAACAUAGUUGUCCUUAUGUCCUUAAUAUCUUCAUGGAACCAAAACUACUGAAUGCUAAUCUAAAAUCUAAUCUAAUUUCUAAUUUUCUAAUUUCUUAAUCUAAUUUUGGAGUGUACAAAUGAGAAAGCUGUGGACACUGAUGGUGUGUCAAGAGAGGUAUACUCUGCAUUCUGGGAAGAUUUCUUGGAACAGUGUGAGGGGGAAGAUGAACGAGUACCCAGACUACGACCAGACUAUUCUGAGAAAGCAUGGCAAGCUCUUGGAAGAGUGUGGUUGAAAGGAUACCUGGACUACAAAAUCAUACCAAUCAGACUAUCACCAGCUUUUGUUGUUGCCUGUUGUCAAGGACUUGGUUCAGUGGAUGAAGAACUCUUGAUGAUGUCAUUUGCCAGAUUUGUUUCAGAGAAUGAGCGUGCAUCACUUGAAAAAGCACUACAGGGCAACAUUGAUGAAACUGUUGAAGAGGACUUACUUGACGUCUUCUCAAGAUUGGGCUCACACCGCCUGCCAAUAAGACAAUAUGCGGGCUACCAUUUUAACAAUGGCACACAAAGCUCUUCUUCAAGAGCUAAAGUUCAUAACUGACUGUUUCCAUUCCAGUAUUCACAAUGCUGUGCCAACACUCAUUACCAAAGAAAGCAUAAUGGAGCUUUAUGAAUCUAAGCGGCCAACUAACAAGAAAGUGGCCCAGAUGAUAAAGCCAUCAACUGAAAGCCUAAAUUCACAAGAGCAGACAGCUCUUAACCACCUGCUGCGGUAUGUGAGAAGCAUCGACCAAAGAAAACUGGAGAUCUUCUUACGCUUCUGCACAGGGUCCACUGUUCUGUACACAGACACAAUCAAAGUAACUUUUAAAAGAUUAGGUUAAUAGAUAAGUUGCAGUCGCAGUUCCUCUUCUAUUUACACUGUUAUGGAAUUUGUCUGAAACAAACUGUUUCUACAGAUUUAAAUGUAUUUAUAUUUUUUUUUUUAAAAAUGUGUUUGUUCAUUCAUGUAUUACAACAAAGAAAAAGUGUACUCCAAGGAGAGGAGAUGAAAUCAGAUGCAUAAUCUGAUGACAUUGCUUUAUUACUCUUAAAACUGAAACAGUUUUUACAUUUUUAGCUUUAUUUUUGUUAUUUUCUCAUUUUUAACACUUUUGCUUUGUCAGCACACUGAGUUUUAAAUUUUGCUUUGUUAAAUCAUUUUGAUAAGUCAUCAAGGCCUGCUAUCCAUCCAUCCAUCCAUCCAUCAUCUGUACAUAUUCUAUGUACGCCGCUUAAUCCUCUGCAGGGUCGCGGGGAGGCCUGCUAUCAUGGGUGAACAUCCCUUUUUCAGGCAUGUAUCAUUUUCACAUUAUCAUGUGCAUGUUUUAUGCAAUUGUUAUUAAGAAAGAAAUUCAGCAUUCAACAAAAUAAUACCUGUUCAAUACACAUAGUUUUUUUGGAGCCUCAUAUGGUAAACAUACAGACAGUAACUGUCAAGAGCACAAUAUGGUGGAAUAAGAAUGUAACUCCUCUUUCAUGUCCUGCCUUGUUGUUUUUCUUUGUUGUGAUUUUGUUCGUUUCCCAUUCAUGGUUGAUGUAAAGGCAAAGUAAAACAUCUACGACAAUAUUAUAACUUGUAAAACAAAUUUAAGUCUCUAUUUCCAGCACAAAGAAUUGUCUGAUCAUGUGUUGAGUUUAGAUGGAUACAAAUGUUGUUCCGUCUCAAAUUAGAGAGCGGAUCUUAUCUCAUUCCUCAAAUGCAGGUACAAAUUCAAUGCUUGAUAAGCAUCAGCUGGAAGAUGCAGCUCUGACCCCAUCAUCAGAAUGUUGCAGAUGUUGUAGAUGUGUGUGUCACAUGGCACUGCUGGUCGAAAUGUGCAGUUACUCUGACACAACUGUACAUCAGCUCUGUCCACUGGGGAAAUGCGGUCAUCACUUGUGCAGAGUUCUGGGAACAUGUACAUGAUUCGAGGUCGACCACUGUAUCCUGUCAUUCUUGGAUGGUCUGAUGACAUGACAUGACACGUGGAUGGUCUCAUCUAAUUCGUCCUAGAAAAACGGUAUAUUAUAAAGUAAGAACACAACUUAACUGAUAUGCAAUUUGUUAUUCUCAUGUGGGCUUUAGAUAAGUUUUGAGAUAUCCAUCCAUCCAUCCAUCCAUCCA